rnacentral:rRNA from 1 species
UACGUAGGGUGCUAGCGUUGUUCGGAAUCAUUGGGCGUAAAGCGCGUGUAGGCUGUUAGUUAAGUCAGGGGGUGAAAUCCCCGGAGCUCAACUCCGGAACUGCCUUUGAUACUGGCCAUCUAGAGAUCGGAAGAGGUGAGUGGAAUUCCCAGUGUAGAGGUGAAAUUCGUAGAUAUUGGGAAGAACACCAGUGGCGAAGGCGGCUCACUGGUCCGAUACUGACGCUGAGGUGCGAAAGCGUGGGGGAGCAAACAGG